rnacentral:rRNA from 1 species
UACGGAGGGUGCAAGCGUUGUUCGGAUUUAUUGGGCGUAAAGCGCGCGUAGGCGGACCUGCAAGUCAGAUGUGAAAUCUCGGGGCUCAACCUCGAAACUGCGUCUGAAACUACAGGUCUAGAAUCUUGGAGGGGGUAGGGGAAUUUCGCAUGUAGGGGUAAAAUCCGUAGAUAUGCGAAGGAACACCAGAGGCGAAGGCGCCUGCCUGGACAAGUAUUGACGCUGAGGCGCGAAAGCGUGGGGAUCAAACAGG